rnacentral:rRNA from 1 species
GUCCACGCCCUAAACGGUGGGCACUAAGUGUGGGGAGGUAACUUCCCGUGCCGUAGCUAACGUAUUAAGUGCCCCGCCUGGGGAGUACGGCCGCAAGGUUAAAACUCAAAGGAAUUGACGGGGGCCCGCACAAGCGGUGGAGCAUGUGGUUUAAUUCGACGCAACGCGAAAAACCUUACCUGGGCUUGACAUCCCAAGGAGUCCCUGGAAACAGGGAUGUGCCUCGCAAGAGGAGCUUGGAGACAGGUGCUGCAUGGCUGUCGU